AUUAUUUAGAUAAAAAAUAUUGUUAGUAUAUAAAUAUUAUGAAAACAAAAAAUUAUGGCGGUAUUUUAAGCUUUUCAGAGGAAUUUGCUCUUUAAUGGAUAAAACACCUAAAUCUUACUAAAAUUGGUUAAGCAGUUUGUAUACCACUAUUUAAGAAAUAACUUAUAAUUAUUUCUGAAAUUUAUUUAAUAAAAAAAGUUAAGUCAAGGUGCAGCAAAAAUUUUAGAAUGAAGUGAAUUACAUUUCUUUUAAGAAAAUUUAAAUGAAAAUUAAUUUUAGGAUUUGAUAGUAAAAUUUCAAUAUAAAGGAAGUUUGAAUUAAGCUCUAAAAUAUGUAC
rnacentral:rRNA from 2 species